rnacentral:sRNA from 1 species
CGCCGAAAGAUCGGGACCCGUCUCGGUCC